rnacentral:piRNA from 1 species
AUGGGCUGUGAAACUGUAAAGAAGAGUG